rnacentral:rRNA from 1 species
UGGCGGACGGGUGAGUAAUGUCUGGGGAACUGCCCGAUGGAGGGGGAUAACUACUGGAAACGGUAGCUAAUACCGCAUAAUGUCUACGGACCAAAGCGGGGGACCUCCGGGCCUCGCGCCAUCAGAUGAACCCAUAUGGGAUUAGCUAGUAGGUGAGGUAACGGCUUACCUAGGCGACGAUCCCUAGCUGGUCUGAGAGGAUGACCAGCCACACUGGAACUGAGACACGGUCCAG